GAUGAACGCUGGCGGCGUGCCUAAUACAUGCAAGUCGAGCGAACGGACGAGAAGCUUGCUUCUCUGAUGUUAGCGGCGGACGGGUGAGUCACACGUGGAUAACCUACCUAUAAGACUGGGAUAACUUCGGGACACCGGAGCUAAAACCGGAUAAUAUUUUGAACCGCAUGGUUCAAAAGUGAAAGACGGUCUUGCUGUCCCUUAUAGAUGGAUCCGCGCUGCAUUAGCUAGUUGGUAAGGUAACGGCUUACCAAGGCAACGAUGCAUAGCCGACCUGAGAGGGUGAUCGGCCACACUGGAACUGAGACACGGUCCAGACUCCUACGGGAGGCAGCAGUAGGGAAUCUUCCGCAAAGGGCGAAAGCCUGACGGAGCAACGCCGCGUGAGUGAUGAAGGUCUUCGGAUCGUAAAACUCUGUUAUUAGGGAAGAACAUAUGUGUAAGUAACUGUGCACAUCUUGACGGUACCUAAUCAGAAAGCCACGGCUAACUACGUG
rnacentral:rRNA from 1 species